rnacentral:rRNA from 2 species
UACGUAGGCAGCAAGCGUUGUUCGGAGUUACUGGGCGUAAAGGGUGCGUAGGCGGCCGUGUAAGUGUGGUGUGAAAUCUCCCGGCUUAACUGGGAGGGUGCGCUACAGACUGCAUGGCUAGAGUGUGGGAGAGGAAAGUGGAAUUCCUGGUGUAGCGGUGAAAUGCGUAGAUAUCAGGAGGAACACCGGUGGUGUAAACGGCUUUCUGGACCAUAACUGACGCUGAUGCACGAAAGCGUGGGUAGCAAACAGG